AGUUAGUUUAGUUUAUGUCUGCAUUGUGAGGGCUUUACUAUUGCUUCCAGUUGGGUAUGUUAAAGGGCAUAGUAUGUUUGAGAGUGUUGCAGCCAGAUAAGAGACUACAAUCAAUAAAAACAUACCAGAACAAUUUCUUGAAGAAGGUGUUUGUGCACCGGUUCCUGUGUGGGUCUCCUCAUUAAUGUUUGCUUUCUGAGAGGGGUGAUUGCUAAGGUACUUCAACACGUGCUUUCAGACCUUCCACCUCAGCUGAACCUGCUGACUCCUGUGAUGGACUCUGUUUUGAAAAUACAUUUAUCUGCUUUGGCACUUCAGUCCGUUUUUCGCCUUCAAUUUUCCCUGGUUUCUCUCCCGGGCAAGCUUCAACUUCUAUCUAAACUGAAGACAAAUACUGGUAAUACAGUUAAUAGCUCUUCAGAUUUUCCACUACAGAGAUAAAAGGACUGAUGCUGUGAGGUAUAGAAAGUCAUUUGCAGG